CUAUCCUGAGUCAUGCAGGCUGCUAACGUGUUCUAGCUCAGAGUCCAUGUGACUGAGACAUGUCUGUUCUGGCCUAAGACCCUGCCAAUCUACAGCAGAGAUUUGCGCUAGGCAGGCUGGAGACCGCAUGUUCCCACAUGUUUUGGUGUAGGAAACAGAGGAAAUAAAAUGCAGUCUUGCCAGGCUGGUGGUUUGUCUCCCCACAGGCAUUGCAAUCUGUGGCCAUGGAUGGACUAGGAGGUUGGGCAAGCUUCAUCUUGAGCGUUUUGGGGAGAAGCUUCUGAGCACAGCGUAGUGUUUCUUCCUCCCCUACAAGAUGGUAAACUCCUUGAGAGACAACUCACACAUUUGGUUCAUCAUCAUCCGCAAACCAGGCUGAAAGAAAGGUAUCAAAUUAAGGUGAUGGAUUUGAUUAUAACAGGAAAGGUGAGUGGGGGUUACUUGGAGGAGAGGGAAGAGAGUGGCCAUGGCCCGGAGCAGGAGUGAGCCACCCUGUCUUCCACAGAGGAACAGACAGAAGGGCCAGCACUGUGGCUUAGUGGGUAAAGCUGCCUCCUGCAGUGCCGUCAUCCCAUAUGGGAGCUGGUUCGAAUCCCGGCUGCUCCACUUCCAAUCAAGCUCUGUUAUGGCCUGGGAAAGCAGUAGAAGAUGGCCCAAAGGUUGAGCCCCUGCACCUGCAUGGGAGACCUGGAAGAAGUUCCUGGCUCCUGACUUUGCAUCAGCUCAGCUCCGGCCAUUGCGGCCACUUGGGAAGUGAACCAGCAUAUGGAAGACACCUCUCUCUCUCUAUCUGUGGCUCUGUCUCUCAAAUAAAUAAAUAAAGUCUUAAAAAAAAAUCCUACCAUUCAGGAUUUCUUCAUACAUUGUGUCCUUACUGUCAGCUCUCAGUCUGUACUGAAAUGUAAGUGUGUGUGUG